rnacentral:rRNA from 1 species
GAUGAACGCUGGCGGCGUGCCUAAUACAUGCAAGUCGAACGAAACUUCUUUAUCACCGAGUGCUUGCACUCACCGAUAAAGAGUUGAGUGGCGAACGGGUGAGUAACACGUGGGCAACCUGCCCAAAAGAGGGGGAUAACACUUGGUAACAGGUGCUAAUACCGCAUAACCAUAGUUACCGCAUGGUAACUAUGUAAAAGGUGGCUAUACUACCGCUUUUGGAUGGGCCCGCGGCGCAUUAGCUAGUUGGUAGGGUAAAGGCUUACCAAGGCAAUGAUGCGUAGCCGAAUUGAGAGGUUGAUCGGCCACAUUGGGACUGAGACACGGCCCAAACUCCUACGGGAGGCAGCAGUAGGGAAUCUUCCACAAUGGGCGAAAGCCUGAUGGAGCAACGCCGCGUGGGUGAAGAAGGUCUUCGGAUCGUAAAACCCUGUUGUUAGAGAAGAAAGUGCGUGAGAGUAACUGUUCACGUUUCGACGGUAUCUAACCAGAAAGCCACUGCUAACUACGUG